GACGAACCGUGCGAGCGUUGUUCGGAAUCACUGGGCUUAAAGGGCGCGUAGGCGGCUUGCCAAGUCGGGGGUGAAAUACUUCAGCUUAACUGGAGAAGUGCCUUCGAUACUGGCAGGCUUGAGGGAGGUAGGGGUCUGCGGAACUUCUGGUGGAGCGGUGAAAUGCGUUGAUAUCAGAAGGAACGCCGGUGGCGAAAGCGGCGGACUGGACCGCUUCUGACGCUGAGGCGCGAAAGCUAGGGGAGCAAACGGG
rnacentral:rRNA from 1 species